CGCGCAGACUUGAUGUUUUUGUCAUUUAGCAGAAGCUCUUAUCCAGGGCAAUAGAGUGCUUACAUUCUCAUACUUUUUUUCUGGCGGGCCGGGCGCAGUGCGCGAUGGCCAGGUGCACAGUGUUUCCUCUGACACAUUGGUGCGUCUGGGUUGUGUUGGAGGCGCGCUGUGUUAAGAAGCAGUGUGGCUUGGUUGGGUUGUGUUUCGUAGGAAGCAGGGCUUUCGCGUGGUAGCGAUGAGACAAGAUUGUAAUUACUAACAAUUGGAUACCACACAAAGGGGGUAAAAUUUUAAAUUCUUAAUGUUAAAAAAAAAGGUUAGUGAGGGAGAUAUAAGUCUCCAACUUCAGCAAUUUUUGCAAUUCGUUCCAGUCAUUGGCAGCAGAGAACUGGACGGAAAGGUGACCAAAGCGGGUGUUAGCUUUGGGGAUGACCAGUGAGAUAUACCUGCUUGAGCGCUUGCUACGGGUGGGAGUUGUUAAGUUGACCAGUGAGCUGAGGUAAGGCGGAGCUUUACCUAGCAAAGACUUAUAGAUUACCUGGAGCCAGUGGGUCUGGCGAUGAAUAUGUAGCGAGGGCCAACUGACAAGAGCAUACAGGUCGCAGUGGUGGGUGGUAUAAGGGGCUUUGGUUACAAAGCGGAUGGCACUGUGAUAGACUGCAUCCAGUUUGCUGAGUAGGUGACGCAACAGAAUGCCUUGUGGAGAUUGAGCGAUGGAGAGUUGGCCCACAUCAGCCCAAAGGUUGUGGUGCUGUGGGUGGGCACCAAUAAUCAUGGUCACACUGCAGAGCAGAUCUGUGGAGGCAUCAUGGCCAUAGUCCAACUCAUCAAGGACAAGCUGACUUGCAGAGGACACACGGAUAAUUAUCUCUGACACUGUGAUUCUGUAGCCGCUGAUGUUGUGACUUCCUACAAGCCUAUCGGGCUGGUGUUUACUCAACACUCGUUGCUGUGGGAUUAAUAUAUAAGUGCCUUCUCAGAGAAGCUUGUUAGACAUGCCUCUUGGCUUCUGUUCUGGAGAUGUUCUCUGUGAAUUCUUGUAAUAAACUGAAAUGAUUUAGAUUAA